ensembl:lncRNA
GAACAUGGAGGUUUCUGACAUGAGAAGCCUCACGACCUGCCACUCCCUCCAGGACUUGCUCUGUGCUCUACCUGCUUGCUGCGUAAGGCUGGCCACUCUGCUACUGCUCUGCCCCCAAGAAGGUGUCUGCCAUCAGAUUCCUCACUAUGGAAUGCCUGCAUGCUGAUGGACUCUCCUAGGCCUGUUACCAGAGACCUGCUGUUUCGUCCCAGACUUACCCUACGGCUUCUUCCUGGACCUACCAGAAUAGUUCAUCAGUGCUGUAAUGAAUUCCUGCUCUCCGUGAAAAGUCUGGGACAUAGAAUGCUACGUCCAACAAAAAAUGCUGACUACUCAGGCCUGAUGUUUUAACUCAAGCACAGAUGUGGGCUGACAGUUAUUGUCUACAGGAGAAUGUCAUUUGAAUUGGAAGGAACAUUCAAAGGUCAUCUGGUCCAACUCCUCUGCAAUGAAUGGGGCCACCUACAGCUAGAUCAGGUUGCUCAGAGCGCUGUCCAGCCUGACCUUGAAUGCCUCCAAGGAUAGGACAUUUACCACCUCUCUGGGAAACCUGUGCCAGCACUUCCCUACCCUUAUCAUUAAAAAACAGAACAAAACAAAAAACACAAAAACUUUUUCUUAUAUCUAGUCUAAAUAUCCACUAUUUUAGUUUGAAACCAUUUCCCCUUCUACUGUCACAACUGACCCUGCUAAAGAGUGUAUCUCCUUCUUUCUUAUAGCUCCCCUUUAGACACUGAAAGGCUGCUAUCAGAUUUCACUAGACCCUUCUCUUUUCCAGACUGAACAUCCCAACUCUCUCAGCCUGUCCUUGCAGGAGAGGUAUUCCAUCCUCCCAAUAGUUCCUUAAACUAUUUUUGUGGUCUCCCUCUGGAAGUGCUCCAACAGGUCCACAUCUCUCCUAUAUUGCGAACUCCACAUCUGAACGCAGUACUCCAGGUGAUGUCUCAGCGCACAGUAGAGGUGCAGGAUUACCUCCACAGACCUUCUGACCUUGCUUCUUUGGAUGCAACCCAGGAUAUGGUUGGCCUUUCAGGCUUCAAGGGCACAUUGCUGGCUCCUGUCCAGCUUACCAUCCACCAGUACUCAUGAGUCCUUUUCAUCAGGGGUGUGCUCCCCAGCUUGUAUUGAUAGUGUGAGUUGCUACAACCCAAAUGCAAGACCUUGCACUUGUUUUUGUUGAACCUCAUGAAAUUCCCCUGCACCCACUGCUUGAGCCUGUGUAGGCUUCUCUGGAUGGCAUCCCAUCCCUUGGAUAUCCCAUCCCUCAGGCAUGUUGACUGCACCACACAGUUUAUUAUCUGAAAACUUGCUGAGAGUCCACUGUUGUGUUAAAGAGCAUCAGUCUCGGUGCUGAACCCUGAGGGACCUCACUCAUCACUGAUCCCCAUUUGGGCUUUGAUGAAUUGAUCACCACUCUCUGGUUAUGAUCUUGCAACUAAUUCCUUGUUUAUCAUAGAGUCUACCCACCAAAUCUAUAUCUUUCCAAUUUGAACAUCUUCCGUUGUCCAUUGGUUCAUCACAAAAGGCCAUUAAGUUGGUCAGGCAGGACCUGCCCUUGGUGAAGUAACACUGGUUGUCUCUUCCAUGUGCUUUCGUAUAGCUUCCAGGAGGAUCUGCUCUGUGAUCUUCCCCAUCACAGAUGUGAGGCUGACAGUUUCAUGGUUCCCUGCCUCAUCCUUUCUACCCUUCUUAAAAAUGAAUGUGAUAUUGCCCAACUUCAAGGUUUAAUCUCCAAAACCCUUUCUUAUUACCCCCCAAAAUUACUGUUUCUGCUGACUUAUGUAUUCACUCAGUACCACAUUUCAGUGUAGUAAGAAUUUUAUCUUCCUCUUUUUUAUAUUUACAUGCCAUUUUUAAUGAUUUCAGCAGUCAGUUAGAGAACCCAAACUUAAAUUAUACUGAUUAUACUCCCUACUAAAAGUGAUAUGAAACAAUGUAUGAAGUGCAACUGAUUCUAAGUUCUAUUUAAAUAUAUAUUUAACAUGAUCUAUUUCAUAGCAUGUUUUCUUUUUUUAUCUAUCUAUCCAGUUAUCUUAUCUAUCCAGUUACCAUGCUUAGUACUAUGUUAACUAUUAUAUUGAAACUGUCUUUUAACUCUUAUGUUUUAUCCUGUUCAAUUCAUUUUUGCAGGGAUUAACAGAUUCAACUUAGAAGUUUUAAUUUUUCUGUAAGACAUAAGAAAAAUUCUUUAUACAAAACUUGCUGGUUUUUUUUUUCCUUCCUUUUGAAGAGGGCAUGGGGUUUUCUACUGUAAUUAUUUAGAAAGAGAUCUGUUUAACCACUACCAGGUAGCCUGAUGUUAACACCUGUAGCGCAGAAAGAGAUGAAGCUUAGUUUCUUUUCUAGCUAGUUAUAGAAUUGCUUUGGUUCUUUUAAAAAUUAAUUUUGAAAUUGGUUCUAAAGUAGAAAUCUACCAUGUAUUUAAAAUACACAUUCUGGUGAAGUGAAAAUAUAAAUAUAUAAUUUUUUUAUUUUAGUGUUUUUUCUUGAUGCAAAUAUGUCUUAGGAUUGAAAAACUUCUGUUUGAUUUGGUUAACAUUUUCAAGAAAGCUUCAAAAGUUAUCGUCUUACUUUAAUGUUUUAUGGAUAGAUUAAUAUACAAAAUCCUUUCUUAUAAUAAUUCUUAUAUUCCUCAUGAGGAAAAGGGAAAAAAGUUAUAAGAUUUUUCAUAAGGCUUUAGGUUUCCACCUAAAGAAAUAAUGACAAUACUGAAUCGUUUCCAGAAAGAAAACUCCAUUUGAAAAAUUAAAAUAAAUAGAUUAAAAAAAAAAA